rnacentral:lncRNA from 1 species
GAAGUUGACGCAUUAGAAUGCAUUAGGAUAUGUGUACAUUUAUGUGAUAAGUGAUAUGUGACACAUACUUGGAUAAUUGUGAUAAUUGAUUGUGUGAGUAUUCGAUUAUAUGUCUUUAUGUACUUAUAAUUGAAUGAUAGAUUGUUGAUGGAUAUGGGCGAAUGUAUGAUAUAUACAUGAUUAUAGAAGAAGUGUUUAAGUACCCUUUUACUUGCACUUGUAUUUUGAUUAUGUGAUCUAACUCUCAUGCUUUGUGUUAUGUGCUGGACCGUUGGGGGUUCAGAUUCUCAGGUUGAGGAUCCCGAUCAGAGUUAGAGGUUGCUCGUGCUCGUG